rnacentral:rRNA from 1 species
CAGUCGCCGCGGUAAUACGUAGGUGGCAAGCGUUGUCCGGAAUUAUUGGGCGUAAGGGGCUCGCAGGCGGUUUCUUAAGUCUGAUGUGAAAGCCCCCGGCUCAACCGGAGAGGGUCAUUGGAAACUGGGAAACUUGAGUGCAGAAGAGGAGAGUGGAAUUCCACGUGUAGCGGUGAAAUGCGUAGAGAUGUGGAGGAACACCAGUGGCGAAGGCGACUCUCUGGUCUGUAACUGACGCUGAGGAGCGAAAGCGUGGGAGCAAACAGGAUUAGAUACCCGGGUAGUCCCUGUCUCUUAUACA